UACGUAGGGUGCGAGCGUUAAUCGGAAUUACUGGGCGUAAAGUGUGCGCAGGUGGCCGCGCAAGUCGAGUGUGAAAUCCCCGAGCUUAACUUGGGAAUUGCGCUCGAAACUACGUGGCUCGAGUGUGGCAGAGGAAGGUGGAAUUCCACGUGUAGCGGUGAAAUGCGUAGAGAUGUGGAGGAACAGCGAUGGCGAAGGCAGCCUUCUGGGCCAACACUGACGCUGAUGCGCGAAAGCUAGGGUAGCAAACGGG
rnacentral:rRNA from 1 species